rnacentral:lncRNA from 1 species
UUGGAACAAACUGUGCAACGUUACCUAGGCUCAUUUAACUCUUUGUCUUUUUCCUAUUUAACUAAAUUAUUAAUUUUGUAAUUACAUAAUGUGAACACAGUUGGAUUACACCGAACUUAUUGUAGAACUUACGAACUGCAGGUAAAUAGUAAUAAAAAAUCCUUGCUUUCAUUUUAAGUGUAUUUUAAUUCUGAUAUAAAUAAAAAACGCUUUAUCAAUUUCGUACGACCGAAGCGCAUUCUGGGUUUAUUCUCACCAGAAACUCAAACUCAAAAUCUUUUGAAAGCAGUUGAUGUACACUGUAUGCAUACGUAGUCUAAACAUUAGAAGCUACUUCAAACUCUGCUCGAGCGAGUUUUAGAUAUCUGUAAUUUGCCAAAAGGAUUUUUAAGGAAGUUUCUAUUUUUUUGCUUUAUAUUCUAAUCUUUUAGAAGAAAAAAAUGAUGGUAAAAUACUUUAUUAAGCACCUAUAUCAGUGCUUCGCAUCUAUGCUAACUCCAAAAACCAUAUGUCAUUUGCAUACAUUGUAUACAAAAAACACUAUUAAUAGUAACUUCAUGACAUAGUUUGUGUUUGCACAUUUAAUUAUAAACUGUACAUCAUAUACAUCAGAUCUAUUUUUCGAGAAAAAAAAACCCCAUGUCAAUCUUUGAUGGUUUUAAAGGAAAAUAUCAAUUAUUAAUCAAUUGAUGUACGGCGGCGGGCAAUAACUUGAAAACCCUUUGACAAAACCUUUAAAAAUUUGAGCUCAUGGCAAAAGAAAUAGAAGCAGGAAACAAACGUCUCCUGAAAAAAACUGAGAAACUAAAUAAAAAAAUGGAAAAAGUACAAUAACUACGCAUUCACAUGACCACCACAGGACACAAACUUUAAAAUAUUCCAUAGAUAAAAAAAAUAUAUGACCAAAGGUCUAACAACUUUUUUCGAUUUGCAUAAUUUGUAUUAUUUUGAAAAUACAGUUUUAUUCAAAUGAUGAUAAUCACGAGGUUGCAUCACCACAACAAGAUUAACAAUCCCCGAAUUCCAAGGUCAAACAUAUUAAACUUGUGUCCGCAUAUUACAUGUAGUGGUAGAUAAACUUUAAAAAAUAAUAUGCGUUUUGAAUAUGAUAUUCCAUUACUCAUGCCAGGGACGCAAUUCUUGUAUUAUUAAUUCGACCUUUAACUUUAAACUGGUAAACAAAUGAUACAAAAGUUCAAAAGUAUUACGCAUUCCCAUGACCACCGCAGGACACAAUUAAGAUAUUCCAUCGAUAAAAUAUUUAUGGUCAAAGGUCUACCAGUCACUUUUGUUUGAUAUGCAUAUAUAAUUUUAACGUUUUAUUUAAAUAAUGAUAAACAAGAAAUAAAUCAUAGACAGCUUAGCCAAAGGUGCUAUAUAAAAUCUCUAUAUAAACAAACAGAAAGAGUUACUACGUAUACAAUUAGAAGAAGUUACUGAGAGGUAAGUCCAAUUCUAAUAAGACAACAUUACGUUUUUAUCCGUAACAAUGUGCUUCAUCAGGUGUGAGUUGUUUAGGACAAGGAACAACUUAUUAUAUUAUUGUUUUAAACAUUAUUAAAACAUAUAUGGAUGGAUGAAAAGAACAACAUUUUUUUCUGAAAAAUAUUUCAAGCUUUUAUGAACUUACUGCAGUUUAGAUUGGUAUAUCCCCAAAAUCGUAUCAACUAUUAACAUGGUCUUAUACAACUGUCAAAAGUUGUAGUUGUAUACUUAUAUCGAUAUUGUUUUCCGGUCCAUCCGAAGUAUUAUCCAUAUUCAUACUAAUUAAUUUAUCCGGUCAAGAUAUCCAACUAACAUGUUAUGGUGAGCCGAGGUCGCCUAAAUUUUUGUGUUGUGGUGAGCCGAUGUCGCAUAAAUGUUUGUGUUUUGGUGAGCCGAUGUCGCCUAAAUGUUUUUGUUGUGGUGAGCGGAUGUCGCCUAAAUGUUUGUGCUGUGGUGAGCAGAUGUCGCUAAAUGAUUGUGUUGUGGUGAGCCGAUGUCGCCUAAAUGUUUGUGUUGUGGUUAACCGAGGUCGCCUAAAUGAUUGUAUUGUGGUGAGCCGAUGUCGCUUUAAGGUUUGUAUUGUUUCUUCAUUCUACAACGAAUGAGUAUAUAUGUCAGGCAACCCAACGACAACAUCGAAUUCAUUACCUUUGUUUGCCCGUUAUAGUUUAAUUGGUUGAUGUUACUGCAUUCUGACAAAGCAAAGUAACGUGAUAGACACGAAGAAAAAAUAUAUGCAGCUGCAACCAGUGCUAGGGGUCACCUGUAACGUGCUGUGAGGUGUGAGGGUUGUGAUAGGGACCGUCUUGAACGUGUAGUGAAUGUGUGCAUUUUUUCAGUAUGAACUUUACAUGGAGAACAGCAAUAUAAUGGUCAUUGCUUAACUAUGUGUUUGCAAUUGUAAAAGGCUUGCCAGGAUUUUGUGUCAUGAAAUAAUGUACCAUUUCUUUUCUUUUUAUUUGUAUUUUUCUUUUCGCCACCUUAUAUAUAUUUACUGAAACACAAAUCAAUAAAUAAGCAAAUCAAAACAAGCUUUUUUGAUUUUUAGAUUCAAACAACCAAGAAUAACUAACGGAAAUGAAGGUAUUUGUGUUUGUGUUGUUAGCCAUUGUAUUGGUGACGGUUGCUGAAAGUCGACGAGGUGGAAAGGGAAAAGGAAAGGGACAUGGAAAGGGACCCGGACAUGGAAAGAGACCGGGAAGACUACCAUUUAUGUGUGAAGGUAGGUUUUCAAUAUAGUUUACACAGUUUCCAAUUAUGAAUGAAGUACAUUUAAAAAGUGGGAAUAAAUCUUCAUAGGUAAUUAGUGUU